rnacentral:rRNA from 1 species
AUGGGGUUCGACGCCUUCGCGGCAGCGUGUUGUGCUAUUCCAGUACUCGUAUCCGUUCUCGCCGUCCGCGUCGCCUACGUGCUUUGCCGCAGCGGCCUACCGCCGUCGAGGUCUCGUGCCUCCGGGCUGCGGUGUCUCAUCGUCCUCGGGUCUGGAGGGCAUACUGCAGAGAUGAUGAAUAUUGUAUCUGAGCUUCAGAAGGAUCGCUUUACGCCUAGGUACUAUGUGGCUGCACUUACUGAUAACAUGAGCCUUCCAAAGGCACAGGUCUAUGAGAAGUCAUUGAUUCAUGUGGAGGGUGAUAGAGAAAUGAUCAUCGAGAACGCCCAGUUCAUGCAGAUAUAUCGUAGCCGUGAAGUGGGCCAAUCCUACAUUACCUCCAUCGCAACAACACUGCGUGCUACUUUGCAUGCUAUGUGGCUAAUAAUAAGAAUCAGACCACAAGUGAUAUUUUGCAAUGGUCCCGGGACAUGCAUCCCUCUAUGUGCUUCAGCUUUUCUUCUGAAGGUGCUUGGUCUGGGAUGGUCCUCCAUUUUCUACAUUGAAAGUAUCGCAAGAGUGAAGAAGCUUUCGUUAAGUGGUUUACUGUUGUACAAGCUACGGAUGGCCAAUCAGUUCUUCGUGCAGUGGCCCCAGCUGCAACAAAAAUACCCUAGAGCACAAUAUGCUGGCCGUUUGAUGUGA